rnacentral:rRNA from 1 species
UAUUUAGGUAGCGCCUCGUGAAUUCAUCUCCGGGGGUAGAGCACUGUUUCGGCUAGGGGGCCAUCCCGGCUUACCAACCCGAUGCAAACUGCGAAUACCGGAGAAUGUUAUCACGGGAGACACACGGCGGGUGCUAACGUCCGUCGUGAAGAGGGAAACAACCCAGACCGCCAGCUAAGGUCCCAAAGUCAUGGUUAAGUGGGAAACGAUGUGGGAAGGCCCAGACAGCCAGGAUGUUGGCUUAGAAGCAGCCAUCAUUUAAAGAAAGCGUAAUAGCUCACUGGUCGAGUCGGCCUGCGCGGAAGAUGUAACGGGGCUAAACCAUGCACCGAAGCUGCGGCAGCGACGCUGAUGCGUUGUUGGGUAGGGGAGCGUUCUGUAAGCCUGUGAAGGUGGCCUGUGAGGGUUGCUGGAGGUAUCAGAAGUGCGAAUGCUGACAUAAGUAACGAUAAAGCGGGUGAAAAGCCCGCUCGCCGGAAGACCAAGGGUUCCUGUCCAACGUUAAUCGGGGCAGGGUGAGUCGACCCCUAAGGCGAGGCCGAAAGGCGUAGUCGAUGGGAAACGGGUUAAUAUUCCCGUACUUGGUGUUACUGCGAAGGGGGGACGGAGAAGGCUAUGUUGGCCGGGCGACGGUUGUCCCGGUUUAAGCGUGUAGGUGUGUGUUCCAGGUAAAUCCGGUUCACUUUAACACUGAGGCGUGAUGACGAGGCACUACGGUGCUGAAGCAACAAAUGCCCUGCUUCCAGGAAAAGCCUCUAAGCAUCAGGUAACAUCAAAUCGUACCCCAAACCGACACAGGUGGUCAGGUAGAGAAUACCAAGGCGCUUGAGAGAACUCGGGUGAAGGAACUAGGCAAAAUGGUGCCGUAACUUCGGGAGAAGGCACGCUGACACGUAGGUGAAGUGAUUUACUCAUGGAGCUGAAGUCAGUCGAAGAUACCAGCUGGCUGCAACUGUUUAUUAAAAACACAGCACUGUGCAAACACGAAAGUGGACGUAUACGGUGUGACGCCUGCCCGGUGCCGGAAGGUUAAUUGAUGGGGUCAGCGCAAGCGAAGCUCCUGAUCGAAGCCCCGGUAAACGGCGGCCGUAACUAUAACGGUCCUAAGGUAGCGAAAUUCCUUGUCGGGUAAGUUCCGACCUGCACGAAUGGCGUAAUGAUGGCCAGGCUGUCUCCACCCGAGACUCAGUGAAAUUGAACUCGCUGUGAAGAUGCAGUGUACCCGCGGCAAGACGGAAAGACCCCGUGAACCUUUACUAUAGCUUGACACUGAACAUUGAGCCUUGAUGUGUAGGAUAGGUGGGAGGCUUUGAAGUGUGGACGCCAGUCUGCAUGGAGCCGGCCUUGAAAUACCACCCUUUAAUGUUUGAUGUUCUAACGUGGACCCGUGAUCCGGGUUGCGGACAGUGUCUGGUGGGUAGUUUGACUGGGGCGGUCUCCUCCUAAAGAGUAACGGAGGAGCACGAAGGUUGGCUAAUCCUGGUCGGACAUCAGGAGGUUAGUGCAAUGGCAUAAGCCAGCUUGACUGCGAGCGUGACGGCGCGAGCAGGUGCGAAAGCAGGUCAUAGUGAUCCGGUGGUUCUGAAUGGAAGGGCCAUCGCUCAACGGAUAAAAGGUACUCCGGGGAUAACAGGCUGAUACCGCCCAAGAGUUCAUAUCGACGGCGGUGUUUGGCACCUCGAUGUCGGCUCAUCACAUCCUGGGGCUGAAGUAGGUCCCAAGGGUAUGGCUGUUCGCCAUUUAAAGUGGUACGCGAGCUGGGUUUAGAACGUCGUGAGACAGUUCGGUCCCUAUCUGCCGUGGGCGCUGGAGAACUGAGGGGGGCUGCUCCUAGUACGAGAGGACCGGAGUGGACGCAUCACUGGUGUUCGGGUUGUCAUGCCAAUGGCACUGCCCGGUAGCUAAAUGCGGAAGAGAUAAGUGCUGAAAGCAUCUAAGCACGAAACUUGCCCCGA